UCAGCAGUCAAGAAUAUUAGUCAAUGCUCGCAAGAGUGAACUAGCUAACUGAAAUCUUAAAUUUUAUUUUAAGAUAAGGUAAGAGAAAAUAAUGAUAUUAUCUUACUAUUAGUGUCGUCUAAAUUUGGUGCCAGAAGACUCGGUAAGACCUUAGACGCAAACGUUAAUCGUCAUAAUCAGGCGUAAAGGGUGUGUAGGCGGCUUUUAAAAAAAAUAUAAUUAUAGCUAAUGAAUUAUAUUCCAAUAAAAGCUAGAAUCUAAAAGAGGGUAAGCUAAACAACAUAAUUAAUUGGGACUGACAACUUAUAAUAAUGUGGAGUACUAAAGGUUAAAGCUAUUUAUCUACUUAAGAUUGACGCUGAGAAACGAAGGGGAGAAUAAGAAACUUAGAUUAGAGACCUAAUUAUCUCUCUCAGUCAACGAUGAAUGGUAGUUAUUAAAAUAAAAUAAAAUUAUUAGUGACGAGGUUAACACGAUGACCAUUCCGCCUUGUUAGUAAGACUGCAAAGUUGAAAACAAAAAAAAUUAGUCC
rnacentral:rRNA from 1 species